UAGACUUAUAGAAUCCAUCCUCCAAAGUGCAAAGCCAAAUAUUAGAAAAUCAACAAAUCCAAUCUAACCAAAACUCUGUUUCAAUUCCAAUUUCAGAAGAUUUCUCGUACUGAGAAAUUCAAACAGAAGCAUUGUUCAUUCACGUUCAAGUAUGAAUAUUGAAUACAUAAAAGGAUGUGAGACAUGUGAAUUUGGAAGACCCUCAAUCUCAUAUUUGUUAUAAAAAGAGAAGCCAGUCAAAUGCCAAGUGUUUAUGAAUUUAGAAUUAGAACAUUUUAUGAGAUUGAAAGCUUCUUUUCCCCUGCUCUUUCUACGACCAACUAACACGGAAAAUUUUCGUUUCCUUCCUUCUGUCAUGAAACACAUAACGUGGUUUUUAUUGCUGCAUACAGGGUCAAGA